GGCUAUGUUGGCCGGGCGACGGUUGUCCCGGUUUAAGCGUGUAGGCUGGUUUUCCAGGCAAAUCCGGAAAAUCAAGGCUGAGGCGUGAUGACGAGGCACUACGGUGCUGAAGCAACAAAUGCCCUGCUUCCAGGAAAAGCCUCUAAGCAUCAGGUAACAUCAAAUCGUACCCCAAACCGACACAGGUGGUCAGGUAGAGAAUACCAAGGCGCUUGAGAGAACUCGGGUGAAGGAACUAGGCAAAAUGGUGCCGUAACUUCGGGAGAAGGCACGCUGAUAUGUAGGUGAAGUCCCUCGCGGAUGGAGCUGAAAUCAGUCGAAGAUACCAGCUGGCUGCAACUGUUUAUUAAAAACACAGCACUGUGCAAACACGAAAGUGGACGUAUACGGUGUGACGCCUGCCCGGUGCCGGAAGGUUAAUUGAUGGGGUUAGCGCAAGCGAAGCUCUUGAUCGAAGCCCCGGUAAACGGCGGCCGUAACUAUAACGGUCCUAAGGUAGCGAAAUUCCUUGUCGGGUAAGUUCCGACCUGCACGAAUGGCGUAAUGAUGGCCAGGCUGUCUCCACCCGAGACUCAGUGAAAUUGAACUCGCUGUGAAGAUGCAGUGUACCCGCGGCAAGACGGAAAGACCCCGUGAACCUUUACUAUAGCUUGACACUGAACAUUGAGCCUUGAUGUGUAGGAUAGGUGGGAGGCUUUGAAGUGUGGACGCCAGUCUGCAUGGAGCCGACCUUGAAAUACCACCCUUUAAUGUUUGAUGUUCUAACGUAGACCCGUGAUCCGGGUUGCGGACAGUGUCUGGUGGGUAGUUUGACUGGGGCGGUCUCCUCCUAAAGAGUAACGGAGGAGCACGAAGGUUGGCUAAUCCUGGUCGGACAUCAGGAGGUUAGUGCAAUGGCAUAAGCCAGCUUGACUGCGAGCGUGACGGCGCGAGCAGGUGCGAAAGCAGGUCAUAGUGAUCCGGUGGUUCUGAAUGGAAGGGCCAUCGCUCAACGGAUAAAAGGUACUCCGGGGAUAACAGGCUGAUACCGCCCAAGAGUUCAUAUCGACGGCGGUGUUUGGCACCUCGAUGUCGGCUCAUCACAUCCUGGGGCUGAAGUAGGUCCCAAGGGUAUGGCUGUUCGCCAUUUAAAGUGGUACGCGAGCUGGGUUUAGAACGUCGUGAGACAGUUCGGUCCCUAUCUGCCGUGGGCGCUGGAGAACUGAGGGGGGCUGCUCCUAGUACGAGAGGACCGGAGUGGACGCAUCACUGGUGUUCGGGUUGUCAUGCCAAUGGCACUGCCCGGUAGCUAAAUGCGGAAGAGAUAAGUGCUGAAAGCAUCUAAGCACGAAACUUGCCCCGAGAUGAGUUCUCCCUGACUCCUUGAGAGUCCUGAAGGAACGUUGAAGACGACGACGUUGAUAGGCCGGGUGUGUAAGCGCAGCGAUGCGUUGAGCUAACCGGUACUAAUGAACCGUGAGGCUUAACCU
rnacentral:rRNA from 1 species